GUAAUACGCAGAAGACAAGUGUUAUUCAUCUUUAUUCGGUUUAAAGGGUACCUAGACGGGAAAUCAAGCCAUAGUAGGGACUAAUUUUCUAGAGUUUUAUGGGGGAAAGUCGAAUAUUGGGAGGAGAGAUGGAAUAUGUUGAUACUAGGUGGACUGGUAACGGUGGAGACAACUUUCUAUGUAAAAACUGACGUUGAGGGACGAAGCCCUCUGGUUAACGAUAAGGAUUAGAUACCCUAAUAGUCGGGGGAGACAAUGAUGAGUGUCAUAGGCUAAAAAUAUUAGUUUAUAAAUGAAAGUGCAAGCAUUCCACCUCAUGACUAAAGCGGCAACGCCCAAAUUGAAAUCAUUAGACCGUUCCUGAAACCAGUACUGAAGUAUGCCCUUUAAUUCGAUGAUCCACGAAUAACCUUACCACGUUUUGAAUAUUACUAGUGGUUUACCCAAUUUAAUUUAAUAGUAAUACAAGCGUUGCACGGCUGUCUUUAGUUAAUGUCGUGAGAUUGUGGUUAAUUCCUUCAAUUAACGAAAACCCUUAUAUUAUAUCUAUAUAUAAUAUAGU
rnacentral:rRNA from 1 species